rnacentral:rRNA from 1 species
UACAGAGGUGGCAAGCGUUGUUCGGAAUUACUGGGCGUAAAGGGCGCGUAGGCGGCCUACUAAGUCAGACGUGAAAUCCCCCGGCUUAACCUGGGAACUGCGUCUGAUACUGGAUGGCUUGAGUUUGGGAGAGGGAUGCGGAAUUCCAGGUGUAGCGGUGAAAUGCGUAGAUAUCUGGAGGAACAUCGGUGGCGAAGGCGGCAGUCCUGGACCAACACUGACACUGAGGAGCGAAAGCCAGGGGAGCAACGGG